rnacentral:lncRNA from 1 species
UCCAGAAGUCGUACUUCUCUCCAUCAAAUAUGGGGAUUACUUGAUUCUUCAUCGUUUCGAGUGAUUCCGAAAUCGUAUGACAAAAUCCUCUAGCCUCCUUUUCUCCACGCCAAGUGUUUCUCUUACUAGUGCUUUUUCCUUUGUCCUCUCAAACGUAAAGCUCUGAUACCAUGUUAAUCUUUUACCAACCGCUUGUGUUACACAACGAUCACAAUGUGUUACACACGAGUUCGAGAGAAAGAAUAAGAUAGACGUUUCAGGCUUAUAAACUUUUCUGAAAAUACUUUUGUAUUAUUGAGAUUCGGUUAUAUGUUUACAACAGAUGAUUGAUCUUUAUAUAGAGAUCGAAUCAAUACAAGUAUAAGAGACACAACUCUUUAUACUAAAGGACACAACAUGAAGAGUUACAACUCUUUGUGUAAUAACAUAAAUAACUAACUUAUGUAAAUGUAUCAAGGAGAGAUUAGAUUAUA